UACGUAGGGGGCAAGCGUUGUCCGGAUUCAUUGGGCGUAAAGAGCACGCAGGCGGUUUGGCAAGUCGGACGUGAAAAUCCGGGGCUCAACCCCGGACCUGCAUCCGAAACUGCCCGACUAGAGGUAGGUAGGGGAGAUCGGAAUUCCUGGUGUAGCGGUGAAAUGCGCAGAUAUCAGGAGGAACACCGGUGGCGAAGGCGGAUCUCUGGGCCGAUACUGACGCUGAGGAGCGAAAGCGUGGGGAGCGAACAGG
rnacentral:rRNA from 1 species